GAUGAAGAACGUAGCGAAAUGCGAUAAGUAAUGUGAAUUGCAGAAUUCAGUGAAUCAUCGAGUCUUUGAACGCACAUUGCGCCCGCUGGUAUUCCGGGGGGCAUGCCUGUCCGAGCGUCAUUGCUGCCCUCAAGCACGGCUUGUGUGUUGGGCCUCCGUCCUCCUCCCGGGGGACGGGCCCGAAAGGCAGCGGCGGCACCGCGUCCGGUCCUCGAGCGUAUGGGGCUUCGUCACCCGCUCUUGUAGGCCCGGCCGGCGCUUGCCGACACAUCAAUCUUUUUUCCAGGUUGACCUCGGAUCAGGUAGGGAUACCCGCUGAACUUAAGCAUAUCAAUAAGCGGAGGA
rnacentral:misc_RNA from 1 species